GUGCUUGCAUAGGCAGCACAUAUACUAAAACUGGAAUGAUACAGAAAAGUUUAGCAUGGCCUCUGUGCAAAGAUGACACACAAAUUCAUGAAGAGUUCCAUAUUUUU
rnacentral:snRNA from 1 species